CACGUAGGACGCAAGCGUUGUCCGGAAUUAUUGGGCGUAAAGAGCUCGUAGGCGGUCUGUUGCGUCCGCUGUGAAAACUCGGGGCUUAACCCCGAGCCUGCAGUGGAUACGGGCAGACUAGAGGUAGGUAGGGGAGAAUGGAAUUCCCGGUGUAGCGGUGAAAUGCGUAGAUAUCAGGAGGAAUACCGAUGGCGAAGGCAGGUCUCUGGGCUGACACUGACGCUCAUGCACGAAAGCGUGGGGAGCAAACAGG
rnacentral:rRNA from 1 species